rnacentral:rRNA from 1 species
AGUUUGAUCCUGGCUCAGGAUGAACGCCGGCGGUGUGCCUAAUACAUGCAAGUCGUACGCACCGGCCCAACUGAUUGAUGGUGCUUGCACCUGAUUGACGAUGGGUCACCAGUGAGUGGCGGACGGGUGAGUAACACGUAGGUAACCUGCCCCGGAGCGGGGGAUAACAUUUGGAAACAGAUGCUAAUACCGCAUAACAACAAAAGCCACAUGGCUUUUGUUUGAAAGAUGGCUUUGGCUAUCACUCUGGGAUGGACCUGCGGUGCAUUAGCUAGUUGGUAAGGUAACGGCUUACCAAGGCGAUGAUGCAUAGCCGAGUUGAGAGACUGAUCGGCCACAAUGGAACUGAGACACGGUCCAUACUCCUACGGGAGGCAGCAGUAGGGAAUCUUCCACAAUGGGCGCAAGCCUGAUGGAGCAACACCGCGUGAGUGAAGAAGGGUUUCGGCUCGUAAAGCUCUGUUGUUGGAGAAGAACGUGCGUGAGAGUAACUGUUCACGCAGUGACGGUAUCCAACCAGAAAGUCACGGCUAACUACGUGCCAGCAGCCGCGGUAAUACGUAGGUGGCAAGCGUUAUCCGGAUUUAUUGGGCGUAAAGCGAGCGCAGGCGGUUGCUUAGGUCUGAUGUGAAAGCCUUCGGCUUAACCGAAGAAGUGCAUCGGAAACCGGGCGACUUGAGUGCAGAAGAGGACAGUGGAACUCCAUGUGUAGCGGUGGAAUGCGUAGAUAUAUGGAAGAACACCAGUGGCGAAGCCUGCUGUCUGGUCUGCAACUGACGCUGAGGCUCGAAAGCAUGGGUAGCGAACAGGAUUAGAUACCCUGGUAGUCCAUGCCGUAAACGAUGAGUGCUAGGUGUUGGAGGGUUUCCGCCCUUCAGUGCCGGAGCUAACGCAUUAAGCACUCCGCCUGGGGAGUACGGUCGCAAGACUGAAACUCAAAGGAAUUGACGGGGACUCGCACAAGCGGUGGAGCAUGUGGUUUAAUUCGAUGAUACGCGAGGAACCUUACCCGGGCUCGAACGGUGCAUGAAUAUACGAGAGAUUGUAUAGUCCUUCGGGACAUGUAUCGAGGUGCUGCAUGGUUGUCGUCAGCUCGUGCCGUGAGGUGUCGGCUUAAGUGCCAUAACGAGCGCAACCCUUAUUGCUAGUUGCCAUCAUUAAGUUGGGCACUCUAGCAAGACUGCCGGUGACAAAUCGGAUGAAGGUGGGGAUGACGUCAAAUCAUCAUGCCCCUUAUGACCUGGGCUACACGCGUGCUACAAUGGCUAAUACAAAGAGUUGCAAAACCGUGAGGUAGAGCUAAUCUCAUAAGGUUAGUCUCAGUUCGGAUUGUAGUCUGCAACUCGACUACAUGAAGUUGGAAUCGCUAGUAAUCGUAAAUCAGAAUGUUACGGUGAAUACGUUCUCGAGUCUUGUACUCACCGCCCGUCA